rnacentral:rRNA from 1 species
CAAUAGAUGUGUGGGAGGAAAAUCCCCCGCAUAAGUCGAAGGUGUGACGCGGACCGAAAAAGAGUAGGGAAGCUGUUAAGCAAGCCGUCAAGAAAAGCUGCUAUUGUUUCAUUAUGGCCCGUACCGUAAACCGACACAGGUGGAUGGGGAGAGAAUCCUAAGGCCGGCGGAAGAAGUAUUGUUGAGGAACUCGGCAAAAUGACCCCGUAACUUCGGGAGAAGGGGUGCCUGCGAGAGCAGGCCGCAGAGAAGAGGCCCAAGCAACUGUUUAGCAAAAACACAGGUCUAUGCAAAACCGAAAGGUGAGGUAUAUGGGCUGACGCCUGCCCGGUGCUGGAAGGUUAAGGGGAGUGGUCAGGAAACGAAGCCACGAACUUAAGCCCCAGUAAACGGCGGCCGUAACGAUAACGGUCCUAAGGUAGCGAAAUUCCUUGUCGGGUAAGUUCCGACCCGCACGAAAGGCGUAAUGAUUUGGGCGCUGUCUCGACAAUACAUCCGGUGAAAUUGAAGUGCCAGUGAAGAUGCUGGCUACCUGCGCCAGGACGGAAAGACCCCAUGGAGCUUUACUCCAGCUUGAUACUGGGACCCGGUAUUGCAUGUACAGGAUAGGUGGGAGGCUAGGAAAUGUGGACGCCAGUCUGCAUGGAGCCGCUGUUGGGAUACCACCCUUGUGGUGCUGGGUUUCUAACCAGAGGCCGUGAACCGGUCUGGGGACAAUGUCAGGUGGGGAGUUUGACUGGGGCGGUCGCCUCCGAAAGGGUAUCGGAGGCGCCCAAAGGUUCCCUCAGAAUGGUUGGAAACCAUUCGAAGAGUGCAAAGGCAGAAGGGAGCUUGACUGCGACACCGACGGGUGGAGCAGGUACGAAAGUAGGGCUUAGUGAUCCGGUGGAAUUUAAGUGGGAAUGCCAUCGCUCAACGGAUAAAAGCUACCCUGGGAUAACAGGCUGAUCACUCCCAAGAGUUCACAUCGACGGAGUGGUUUGGCACCUCGAUGUCGGCUCAUCGCAUCCUGGGGCUGAAGUCGGUCCCAAGGGUUGGGCUGUUCGCCCAUUAAAGCGGUACGCGAGCUGGGUUCAGAACGUCGUGAGACAGUUCGGUCCCUAUCCGGCGUGGGCGUAGGAUAUCUGAGAGGAGCUGUCCUUAGUACGAGAGGACCGGGAUGGACUGACCUCUGGUGUACCGGUUGGCGAUCAACGCCACGGCCGGGUAGCCAUGUCGGGACGGGAUAAACGCUGAAGGCAUCUAAGCGUGAAGCCCCCCUCAAGAUGAGAUAUCCCAUCGUAAGAGUAAGACCCCUUGAAGACGACGAGGUUGAUAGGGCAGGGGUGGAAGUGCUGUAAGGCAUGGAGCUGACUGCUACUAAUCGGUCGAGGGCUUGAUCAA